UGCGUAGACGGCUAUCUAAGUCGGGUGUGAAAGCCCCGGGCUCAACCUGGGAAUUGCAUUCGAGACUGAAUAGCUAGGGUGCGGUAGAGGGAAGCGGAAUUUCCGGUGUAGCGGUGAAAUGCGUAGAUAUCGGAAGGAACAUCAGUGGCGAAAGCGGCUUCCUGGACCAGCACCGACGUUCAGGCACGAAAGCGUGGGAGCAAACA
rnacentral:rRNA from 1 species